UACGGAGGGUGCGAGCGUUAUUCGGAAUUACUGGGCGUAAAGCGCGUGUAGGCGGGGGGACAAGUCUGAUGUGAAAGCCCUGGGCUUAACCUGGGAAGUGCAUUGGAAACUGUUUUUCUUGAGUACUGGAGAGGAAGGGGGAAUUCCCGGUGUAGAGGUGAAAUUCGUAGAGAUCGGGAGGAAUACCAGUGGCGUAGGCGCCCUUCUGGACGGUAACUGACGCUGAGACGCGAAAGCUGGGGUAGCGAACCGG
rnacentral:rRNA from 1 species